CUCAUCAGUUACAUUUAUUCUUUGGUUGCAGGUUCAUCGUAUCUAUUCAUCGCGAAGGCCGCGGGCUUGCAGAGGAAAAGGAAACAUUCGUAAGAACCGUAGCAUGAAGUGAACGUCAAAAUACACAGGAAGAUAAUAUCAACUGUCCCUUAAUAGAGAAGAUGUUUCAAAAAAAUGUAAGGAGUCUUUAGGAAACCGGUUGUCCGUUAAAGCAGUUCAUACAUUAAUUCCACCAAGCCAUAUAGUGGUGGAUUAAGCUCCAAGACAU